rnacentral:rRNA from 1 species
AUGCACGCUGGCGGCGUGCCUAAUACAUGCAAGUCGAGCGAACGGACGAGAAGCUUGCUUCUCUGAUGUUGGCGGCGGACGGGUGAGUAACACGUGGAUAACCUACCUAUAAGACUGGGAUAACUUCGGGAAACCGGAGCUAAUACCGGAUAAUAUUUUGAACCGCAUGGUUCAAAAGUGAAAGACGGUCUUGCUGUCACUUAUAGAUGGAUCCGCGCUGCAUUAGCUAGUUGGUAAGGUAACGGCUUACCAAGGCAACGAUGCAUAGCCGACCUGAGAGGGUGAUCGGCCACACUGGAACUGAGACACGGUCCAGACUCCUACGGGAGGCAGCAGUAGGGAAUCUUCCGCAAUGGGCGAAAGCCUGACGGAGCAACGCCGCGUGAGUGAUGAAGGUCUUCGGAUCGUAAAACUCUGUUAUUAGGGAAGAACAUAUGUGUAAGUAACUGUGCACAUCUUGACGGUACCUAAUCAGAAAGCCACGGCUAACUACGUG